AUUUUGCUUCUUGUCUUGGCUGACGUCAUCAUCACACAACCAGUUUCUCAAGCUGAAACAUGAGUCAUCCUCUUCCUUCAUCUCUCUCACCCUCCAAAAACAAUUGUCAACCAUGCUCUGUCAAUUAUACUGCAGAAACGUUACUCAAAUGUAAUUCCUUCAUGUAUCUCCGCAUUCCCUUGCCUUUCACCUUCCUGGAACACAAGUGCCCAAUAAGUAUUUGUUGAUUAGUAAUUGCCCAAUGAAUGCUGUAAGAAGAAAAGAUGAAGAAAAGGAGAAAACAAGGUAAGGAAAGGAAGGAGGGAGAUGGAAGGAAGGAAAGAGGUAGAUGUUUCCAAAGCAUGCUUUACAAAGACAUGAGCCAUUUUGUGGAUAACUGUAGCAUUGCUACCUUAUGUUUACUGGAGAAAAAAUAAAAUGAAUAAUCAUAAUAACAAUGACAAAAAAGUUAUUUUCCUUCCCAAUAUUUUUUCCUUGACAAUACCAAACUAAAAGUUUCACUCUGGUUAUUACGAUCUCUAUUCUGGUUAUUAUGCCAUACAAAGAUGAACUCAUUGACAAAAAUAUCAAGAAUCUUCCCCUGAUGACAAAGUAUAGCCCCGAAACAUAAUAGAAGGUCUGUGUUACCCUUUGUGGGAUCCAGGGGAUUUAUCAUCCCACUCCAAUACCCCCACCUAGGAGAGAACCUGUCAGCCUCUCCAGUAAUUUCUGCCACGAUGCUCACUGGGCCCUUACGUAGACUGACUGACUUCUCCAUUGCUACUUAUCUUGUAUCUUUAAGGCCAUGUGAACUCGAUUGAAUUACAAGUCUUUGUAGGCAGUUGCUAUGCCUUAUAUGUUCUUUAAUUUUCCUAGUUCUUAUUGACUGAUUUAUGUAUUCAGAAACUCUCUGUUGAGUGCCUGCUCUGUACCAGACACUGUGCAAGGCACUAUGGGUAUAACUGUGAAAAGAACAGAAAAUAUAUCCAUUAUUCUGUACAUCCUCACAGAGGCUGUAAAUAAAUACUGUUGACAUUAGUUAUGAUAAUUCCCAACCCUAAUUGUCUGGGCAGAGUCAUAAACAGUGAGACUGUAGGCUGAAACUGACCUACUAAAUUGGAAUCCUACUUGCUGCAAUAUGACCUUGCCCGGCUGGUCAUCGGUGGAGCCUUGUGAUCUAUACAGAAUAUUGAGCAUUAGUCGCAGUAGCGAAGACACGGAAACAACCUAAGUGUUCACCAACAGAUGAAUGGAUGAAGCAAAUGUAGCAUAUAUACACAGUGGAAUACUAUUCAGCCUUAAAAAAGAAGGAAAUCUGGCUAACUGCAACAACAUGGAUGAACCUGGAGGAUAUUAUAUAAGUGAAAUAAGCCAGGCAUGGAAAGUUGUCUGCCCUAUUGCUCAACAAGAUAAAAUGUCUGGGCUGGUGGCUGGAGGCUGGAGGAAGAAUCUGGAGAGAGAGAGAGACUGUGGAAAAGGCAUAGAAAGACCUUUGAACUAGCAGAACAUAUCUCUUUGAGGGACUUAGGAACUUCAUUCUGCAAAUCUGUUUCCAAUGCCUGUUAAGUACAAAACACUGUGUGGACAUGUUCCUAUUCUCAAGACGUUUGCUAUACAGUAGGAAGGAGAGGAGGGCCUGCUCUCUGCCAAACACUGUCCUAGGAGUUUUGCACAAUCCAUUGAGUAUUCUCUAUAUUUUUAACAGCCCUGAGAGAGUCUGGAUCCAUUGCAGCCAUUUUGAAAUUAACAAAUAAUAAGGGAAGGCCAACAAGGACAGAUGUAUAAAAGUAUAAUGAAUCAUAACAAGAGCUUCAUCCUCCUGG
rnacentral:lncRNA from 1 species